CGCUGGCGGCAGGCCUAACACAUGCAAGUCGAGCGGAAACGGCAGUAUUGAAGCUUCGGUGGAUUUACUGGACGUCGAGCGGCGGACGGGUGAGUAACGGCUGGGAACCUGCCCUGACGAGGGGGAUAACCGUUGGAAACGACGGCUAAUACCGCAUAAUGUCUACGGACCAAAGGUGGCCUCUACAUGUAAGCUAUCGCGUUGGGAUGGGCCCAGUUAGGAUUAGCUAGUUGGUAAGGUAAUGGCUUACCAAGGCAACGAUCCUUAGCUGGUUUGAGAGGAUGAUCAGCCACACUGGGACUGAGACACGGCCCAGACUCCUACGGGAGGCAGCAGUGGGGAAUAUUGCACAAUGGGGGAGACCCUGAUGCAGCCAUGCCGCGUGUGUGAAGAAGGCCUUCGGGUUGUAAAGCACUUUCAGCAGUGAGGAAGGUCGUGUACUUAAUACGUGCACGGCUUGACGUUAGCUGCAGAAGAAGCACCGGCUAACUCCGUGCCAGCAGCCGCGGUAAUACGGAGGGUGCGAGCGUUAAUCGGAAUUACUGGGCGUAAAGCGCAUGCAGGCGGUUUGUUAAGUCAGAUGUGAAAGCCCGGGGCUCAACCUCGGAACCGCAUUUGAAACUGGCAGGCUAGAGUCUUGUAGAGGGGGGUAGAAUUUCAGGUGUAGCGGUGAAAUGCGUAGAGAUCUGAAGGAAUACCAGUGGCGAAGGCGGCCCCCUGGACAAAGACUGACGCUCAGAUGCGAAAGCGUGGGUAGCAAACAGGAUUAGAUACCCUGGUAGUCCACGCCGUAAACGCUGUCUACUUGGAGGUUGAGGUUUUAGACUUUGGCUUUCGGCGCUAACGCAUUAAGUAGACCGCCUGGGGAGUACGGCCGCAAGGUUAAAACUCAAAUGAAUUGACGGGGGCCCGCACAAGCGGUGGAGCAUGUGGUUUAAUUCGAUGCAACGCGAAGAACCUUACCUACUCUUGACAUCCAGCGAAGCCUUUAGAGAUAGAGGCGUGCCUUCGGGAGCGCUGAGACAGGUGCUGCAUGGCUGUCGUCAGCUCGUGUUGUGAAAUGUUGGGUUAAGUCCCGC
rnacentral:rRNA from 1 species